rnacentral:lncRNA from 1 species
AGGGUAGUUUAUCUUUACAGAGGAGAGGCCUAACAGGCUUUAGUGUGGAAUUUUGUUCUGCAGGGGCUGCGGGUGUACGAUGCAGACAAAUCAUUACUCUACUGGAGGUGGAUUCUGAAGCAGCACUGCUAGUUCAAGGAUGAGUUUGUGGUACUUGCUGGCAGUUCAGAGGGAUCUAUAAUAAGGUAUCAAUAAAAUUAGUUGCAACACUCCACGAAAUUCACGUUCUUAAGCAUCACCGAAACAGAAACAGAAACAGAAACAUCUAUAGUUUUGUGGUGCCUAGGCUUUUACUAUUGGAAGCAGGGUACUCCAUGUGGUUCUUUUCCCCCAUCUAUGCUUUAUUGAUCUAUAUAAUGGUGUUGGUUCUCCAUUUCCCAAGCUGGUGCUUUUCCCUGCAUCAUUCCUACAGUCACCACUUCUAUCAUGGAAAUGAUUUGUAUUUCAAGAUCAUAUGCCAGUUUGCCCUUAAGAACAAUUAUCCUUUGCUUUUGUACAGGGAAUGUUUAGAUUAUGUCAAGAGGGUUGAUAAACAGGCGGGAACAGAUUUGCAUCUAUGCCCACUCCAAGCAAGUAGUUCUAAUUAGCCUUCAUCAGGUGUUUAUGUUUUCAAAGUAAAAACAUCAGAACAUCUAUUCAAGUUGGGGUUC